rnacentral:rRNA from 1 species
CUGCGGAGGGAUCAUUACCGAGUUUACAACUCCCAAACCCAAUGUGAACGUUACCAAACUGUUGCCUCGGCGGGAUCUCUGCCCCGGGUGCGUCGCAGCCCCGGACCAAGGCGCCCGCCGGAGGACCAACCAAAACUCUUAUUGUAUACCCCCUCGCGGGUUUUUUACUAUCUGAGCCAUCUCGGCGCCCCUCGUGGGCGUUUCGAAAAUGAAUCAAAACUUUCAACAACGGAUCUCUUGGUUCUGGCAUCGAUGAAGAACGCAGCGAAAUGCGAUAAGUAAUGUGAAUUGCAGAAUUCAGUGAAUCAUCGAAUCUUUGAACGCACAUUGCGCCCGCCAGUAUUCUGGCGGGCAUGCCUGUCCGAGCGUCAUUUCAACCCUCGAACCCCUCCGGGGGGUCGGCGUUGGGGAUCGGCCCUUUACGGGGCCGGCCCCGAAAUACAGUGGCGGUCUCGCCGCAGCCUCUCCUGCGCAGUAGUUUGCACACUCGCAUCGGGAGCGCGGCGCGUCCACAGCCGUUAAACACCCCAAACUUCUGAAAUGUUGACCUCGGAUCAGGUAGGAAUACCCGCUGAACUUAAGCAUAUCAAUAAGCGGAGGA